rnacentral:rRNA from 1 species
GUCCACGCCGUAAACGAUGUCGACUAGCCGCUGGGCCCCUCUGGGGCUUCGUGGCGCAGCUAACGCAUUAAGUCGACCGCCUGGGGAGUACGGCCGCAAGGUUAAAACUCAAAUGAAUUGACGGGGGCCCCGCACAAGCGGUGGAGCAUGUGGUUUAAUUCGAUGCAACGCGAAGAACCUUACCUGCCCUUGACAUCCUGGGAACUUGCCGGAGACGGCUUGGUGCCUUCGGGAACCCAGAGACAGGUGCUGCAUGGCUGUCGU